AGCCAUUAGACGAUAUUAAUGGUUAAACCUGCUCAAUGUUAUAUUAAUCAAUAGCCGCGGUACCCUGACCGUGCUAAGGUAGCGUAAUCAGUUGGCUUUUAAAUGGAGUCAGGAAUGAAUGGAAAAACUGGGUUUAGCUGUCUCCGGGCUAUUACUUUGAAUUUACUGUUUAAGUGAAAAAGCUUAAAAAUAAUAAAGGGACGAGAAGACCCUUGGAAUUUUUUUUAAAGUAAGAAAUAAUUACAAUAAUUUUGUUGGGGCGACAAAGAAAUACUUAAAACUUUCUUUACUAGACAAGCCGAUAUUUAUAAGAAAGAAUAAAUUACCCAAGGGAUAACAGCAUAAUUCUACAGUUGAGUUUGUGACCUCGAUGUUGGACUAGGAAACUAACAGGCUAGCCGUUUGUUGUGUGGGUUCUGUUCGAACUUUAAUUCCU
rnacentral:rRNA from 1 species